CAGCUCUGCUACAAUACAGCCUCAGUGAAGCAUUUGGUAAGCUUCCUGAGAAAGGACUAUUUUCAGUAAGUGCCCAAUCAAGAAACACUUAACUGAUGAUUGACUUUGGGAGACACCAAUCCACAUCUGA